rnacentral:rRNA from 1 species
GUUUGAUCCUGGCUCAGAACGAACGUUAGCGGCGCGCUUAACACAUGCAAGUCGUGCGAGAAAGGGAGCAAUCCCCGGUAAAGCGGCGCACGGGUGAGUAACACGUAGGUAACGUGCCCCCAGGUGGUGGAUAACCUUCCGAAAGGAGGGCUAAUACAGCAUAAGACCACGGCUCCGAAAGGGGCUGAGGUCAAAGUCGGCCUCUAUUCAUAAGCUGACGCCAGGGGAUCGGCCUGCGGCCCCAUCAGGUAGUUGGUAGGGUAACGGCCUACCAAGCCAAAGACGGGUAGCUGGUCUGAGAGGAUGAUCAGCCACACUGGAACUGAGACACGGUCCAGACUCCUACGGGAGGCAGCAGUGGGGAAUCUUGCGCAAUGGCGAAAGCCUGACGCAGCGACGCCGCGUGGGUGAUG